GACGAACGCUGGCGGCGUGCCUAAUACAUGCAAGUAGAACGCUGAAGCGAGGAGCUUGCUCUUCUUGGAUGAGUUGCGAACGGGUGAGUAACGCGUAGGUAACCUGCCUUGUAGCGGGGGAUAACUAUUGGAAACGAUAGCUAAUACCGCAUAACAAUGGAUGACACAUGUCAUUUAUUUGAAAGGGGCAAUUGCUCCACUACAAGAUGGACCUGCGUUGUAUUAGCUAGUAGGUGAGGUAAUGGCUCACCUAGGCGACGAUACAUAGCCGACCUGAGAGGGUGAUCGGCCACACUGGGACUGAGACACGGCCCAGACUCCUACGGGAGGCAGCAGUAGGGAAUCUUCGGCAAUGGGGGCAACCCUGACCGAGCAACGCCGCGUGAGUGAAGAAGGUUGUCGGAUCGUAAAGCUCUGUUGUAAGUCAAGAACGGGUGUGAGAGUGGAAAGUGCACACUGUGACGGUAGCUUACCAGAAAGGGACGGCUAACUACGUG
rnacentral:rRNA from 1 species